UCUAUUAUGAUGAGUACAAAUCAAGACUUUCGUUCUUCUGAUUUGGUAUGAAGACAAUUUUGAUUCUGAAUGGA
rnacentral:snoRNA from 1 species